UACAGAGGUCUCAAGCGUUGUUCGGAUUCAUUGGGCGUAAAGGGUGCGUAGGUGGUGGGGUAAGUCGGAUGUGAAAUCCCGGGGCUCAACCCCGGAACUGCGUUCGAAACUGCCUUGCUCGAGUACUGGAGAGGAGACUGGAAUUUACGGUGUAGCAGUGAAAUGCGUAGAUAUCGUAAGGAAGACCAGUGGCGAAGGCGAGUCUCUGGACAGUUACUGACACUGAGGCACGAAGGCCAGGGGAGCAAACGGG
rnacentral:rRNA from 1 species